AAGAUUUUAAGUUAAUUUAAAAACUAUUAAUCUUCAAAAUUAAAAAUAAAAAUUUAUUUUUUAAAUCUUA
rnacentral:tRNA from 1 species